rnacentral:rRNA from 1 species
GAUGAACGCUGGCGGCGUGCCUAAUACAUGCAAGUCGAGCGAACGGACGAGAAGCUUGCUUCUCUGAUGUUAGCGGCGGACGGGUGAGUAACACGUGGAUAACCUACCUAUAAGACUGGGAUAACUUCGGGAAACCGGAGCUAAUACCGGAUAAUAUUUUGAACCGCAUGGUUCAAAAGUGAAAGACGGUCUUGCUGUCACUUAUAGAUGGAUCCGCGCUGCAUUAGCUAGUUGGUAAGGUAACGGCUUACCAAGGCAACGAUGCAUAGCCGACCUGAGAGGGUGAUCGGCCACACUGGAACUGAGACACGGUCCAGACUCCUACGGGAGGCAGCAGUAGGGAAUCUUCCGCAAUGGGCGAAAGCCUGACGGAAGCACGCCGCGUGAGUGAUGAAGGUCUUCGGAUCGNUAAACUCUGUUAUUAGGGAAGAACAUAUGUGUAAGUAACUGUGCACAUCUUGACGGUACCUAAUCAGAAAGCCACGGCUAACUACGUGCCAGCAGCCGCGGUAAUACGUAGGUGGCAAGCGUUAUCCGGGAUUAUUGGGCGUAAAGCGCGCGUAGGCGGUUUUUUAGUCUGAUGUGAAAGCCCACGGCUCAACCGUGGAGGGUCAUUGGAAACUGGAAAACUUGAGUGCAGAAGAGGAAAGUGGAAUUCCAUGUGUAGCGGUGAAAUGCGCAGAGAUAUGGAGGAACACCAGUGGCGAAGGCGACUUUCUGGUCUGUAACUGACGCUGAUGUGCGAAAGCGUGGGGAUCAAACAGGAUUAGAUACCCUGGUAGUCCACGCCGUAAACGAUGAGUGCUAAGUGUUAGGGGGUUUCCGCCCCUUAGUGCUGCAGCUAACGCAUUAAGCACUCCACCUGGGGAGUACGACCGCAAGGUUGAAACUCAAAGGAAUUGACGGGGACCCGCACAAGCGGUGGAGCAUGUGGUUUAAUUCGAAGCAACGCGAAGAACCUUACCAAAUCUUGACAUCCUUUGACAACUCUAGAGAUAGAGCCUUCCCCUUCGGGGGACAAAGUGACAGGUGGUGCAUGGUUGUCGUCAGCUCGUGUCGUGAGAUGUUGGGUUAAGUCCCGCAACGAGCGCAACCCUUAAGCUUAGUUGCCAUCAUUAAGUUGGGCACUCUAAGUUGACUGCCGGUGACAAACCGGAGGAAGGUGGGGAUGACGUCAAAUCAUCAUGCCCCUUAUGAUUUGGGCUACACACGUGCUACAAUGGACAAUACAAAGGGCAGCGAAACCGCGAGGUCAAGCAAAUCCCAUAAAGUUGUUCUCAGUUCGGAUUGUAGUCUGCAACUCGACUACAUGAAGCUGGAAUCGCUAGUAAUCGUAGAUCAGCAUGCUACGGUGAAUACGUUCCCGGGUCU